rnacentral:rRNA from 1 species
UACAGAGGGUGCGAGCGUUAAUCGGAAUUACUGGGCGUAAAGCGCACGUAGUCGGCUUUGCAAGUCGGGUGUGAAAUCCCCGGGCUCAACCUGGGAACUGCAUCCGAGACUGCAUUGCUAGAGUAUGGGAGAGGGAAGCGGAAUUUCUGGUGUAGCAGUGAAAUGCGUAGAUAUCGGAAGGAACACCAGUGGCGAAAGCGGCUUCCUGGUCCAGCACCGACGUUCAGGCACGAAAGCGUGGGGAGCAAACAGG